rnacentral:rRNA from 1 species
GAUGGCGAGAAAAGCUGUGUGUAUUUCUGAGGUGCCCGUACCGCAAACCGACACAGGUAGGUAGGAAGAAGAUUCUAAGGCCAACGGGAGAAGGGUUGUUAAGGAACUCGGCAAAUUGACCCCGUAACUUCGGGAGAAGGGGUGCUCCAGAGAUGGAGCCGCAGAGAAUCGGCCCAAGCAACUGUUUACCAAAAACACAGGUUUGUGCUAAAUCGAAAGAUGACGUAUACGAGCUGACGCCUGCCCGGUGCUGGAAGGUUAAGAGGAGAUGUGCAAGCAUUGAAUCGAAGCCCCAGUGAACGGCGGCCGUAACUAUAACGGUCCUAAGGUAGCGAAAUUCCUUGUCAGGUAAGUUCUGACCCGCAUGAAAGGCGUAAUGAUUUGGGCACUGUCUCAACAGCCCGCCCGGCGAAAUUGUAGUACCGGUGAAGAUGCCGGUUACCCGCGACAAGACGGAAAGACCCCAUGGAGCUUUACUGUAGCCUAAUAUUGGGUUUCGAUGUUGCAUGCACAGGAUAGAUGGGACACUGGGAAACAAUCGCUUUGGCGGUUGCGGAGUGGCCGUUGGGAUACCAUCCUUGCGAUAUUGGAAUUCUAACCUGCGGCUCUGAAUCGAGUCGGGGGACAUUGUUAGGUGGGCAGUUUGACUGGGGCGGUCGCCUCCUAAAAAGUAACGGAGGCGUUCAAAGGUUCGCUCAGCUUGAACGGAAAUCAAGCAAAAGAGUGCAAACGCAGAAGCGAGCCUAACUGCGAGACUGACGGGUCGAGCAGUAACGAAAGUUGGAGUUAGUGAUCCGGUGGUAUGUGAGUGGAAAUGCCAUCGCUCAACGGAUAAAAGUUACCCUGGGGAUAACAGGCUGAUCUCCCCCAAGAGUCCACAUCGACGGGGAGGUUUGGCACCUCGAUGUCGGCUCAUCGCAUCCUGGGGCUGUAUUCGGUCCCAAGGGUUUGGCUGUUCGCCAAUUAAAGCGGUACGCGAGCUGGGUUCAGAACGUCGUGAGACAGUUCGGUCCCUAUCUGUCGUGGGCGCAGGAUAUUUGAUGGGAGCUGUCCCUAGUACGAGAGGACCGGGACGGACGUACCUCUGGCGCACCAGUUGUUCCGCCAGGAGCAUAGCUGGGCAACUACGUACGGAUCGGAUAAACGCUGAAAGCAUCUAAGCGUGAAGCCGACCCAAAGAUAAGAUAUCCCACUGAUUUGAUCAGGUAAGACCCCUUGAAGACUACAAGGUCGAUAGGCACGAUGUGUAAGUGGAGCGAUCCAUUCAGCAAGCGUGUACUAAUAGGUCGAGGGCUUGACCAC